rnacentral:tRNA from 1 species
GGGCCGUUAGCUCGGCCCGGUAGAGCACUCGUCUCCAAAACGAGGUGUCGGAGGUUCGAAUCCUUCACGGCCCGCCA